UAAACCCUGCGUGGUUCGAUUUGUUGCAGCUUUAUAUAAUCCUACUAAUCAAUCUUUGGGAGCCCGGAUUUGUCCCCCGCCGGAUCGCAGACCUCCCGCCCCGUGUAUACACGGCAAGCGGAAGAAGGGAGCGUGAUUGCGGGUGCAGGGCACCCACCUGCCAUAUAACGGUAGGUUUUGAUUGGCUGCAGACGGCCGCGCGGGAUUUUU
rnacentral:other from 4 species